rnacentral:SRP_RNA from 1 species
GCUUCCUGGGUACCACUCUUCAUGACACAGUGCAGGUGGCAUCGGAUGAGCGGGGCAAGAGCUGUGUCACCUACCGCCCCCUCAGCCCGAGCAAUCGAGGAGGCGGAGGCGCCUGGCGGGGCU